AGAGUUUGAUCCUGGCUCAGGAUGAACGCUAGCGGCAGGCCUAACACAUGCAAGUCGAGGGGCAUCGGGAUUGAAGCUUGCUUCAAUUGCCGGCGACCGGCGCACGGGUGCGUAACGCGUAUGUAACCUACCUAUAACAGGGGCAUAACACUGAGAAAUUGGUACUAAUUCCCCAUAAUAUUCGGAGAGGCAUCUCUCCGGGUUGAAAACUCCGGUGGUUAUAGAUGGACAUGCGUUGUAUUAGCUAGUUGGUGAGGUAACGGCUCACCAAGGCAACGAUACAUAGGGGGACUGAGAGGUUAACCCCCCACACUGGUACUGAGACACGGACCAGACUCCUACGGGAGGCAGCAGUGAGGAAUAUUGGUCAAUGGACGCAAGUCUGAACCAGCCAUGCCGCGUGCAGGAAGACGGCUCUAUGAGUUGUAAACUGCUUUUGUACGAGGGUAAACUCACCUACGUGUAGGUGACUGAAAGUAUCGUACGAAUAAGGAUCGGCUAACUCCGUGCCAGCAGCCGCGGUAAUACGGAGGAUUCAAGCGUUAUCCGGAUUUAUUGGGUUUAAAGGGUGCGUAGGCGGUUUGAUAAGUUAGAGGUGAAAUCCCGGGGCUUAACUCCGGAACUGCCUCUAAUACUGUUAGACUAGAGAGUAGUUGCGGUAGGCGGAAUGUAUGGUGUAGCGGUGAAAUGCUUAGAGAUCAUACAGAACACCGAUUGCGAAGGCAGCUUACCAAACUAUAUCUGACGUUGAGGCACGAAAGCGUGGGGAGCAAACAGGAUUAGAUACCCUGGUAGUCCACGCAGUAAACGAUGAUAACUCGUUGUCGGCGAUACACAGUCGGUGACUAAGCGAAAGCGAUAAGUUAUCCACCUGGGGAGUACGUUCGCAAGAAUGAAACUCAAAGGAAUUGACGGGGGCCCGCACAAGCGGAGGAACAUGUGGUUUAAUUCGAUGAUACGCGAGGA
rnacentral:rRNA from 1 species